UGAUUACGCACUAAGCACCUCGUAUGCAAUGAUUACGUAUGGGGGAUCUGCGUGUAUGGACUGAGCACCACGGGUGCUCGCAGAGACAACCAAAAAUAAUGAUGAUGAUUAUGGCACGAAUCUUUUGAAUCUACUCCGGCACGUGUAAACAACUUGUCAAUAAGACUUAUAUUUUCGAGAGAUAUCUUACAACAUUAGAAACAAAACUGGUUAACUUUCAUUACGUCAUAAAUUACUGUCCAUUUGUAAAGAUAAAUUUAAAAUUUAACACUUAUUUUCACACUACAAUCCUGAACGGCUGAAUACAGAAAAUCCACCUCCAACUUCAUAAAAGUUAUUCAUUCAAAAUUAAACUAUAUUUGGUGAUAAGACUAAAAUUAAAGGAAUUAGUUUGUGUUUGUGUUUUUGUUGGAAAUUUGAUUGCUGGACAAAUUAAAUAAACAUGCCUAUUCCCAACUGGAAAAUGGAGAUUAUUGAGGAGAUAUUCGGCCUGUUUGACCCCUGCCUUAUAGACUCAAUUAUUCUAUCACAUCGUCAAGAACAAAUUUGCUUGAGCUUUCUGCCUAUCGAUGCCCGCUUCGGGUUGAGGGGCAGCUUCGGUCGCCGAGGCAUGGCCCAGAGGCAGCUUUACCUCCGGGUCGGAAAGUUAAAAAAAAUU